AAUUACUUAUUUGGCGGUAGGUGAUGGGAAAAGGGUUUUGUUUUGGGAGCAUGUGUGGUGUGGGGAAGUGAAUUCGCGGGAAGCGUUCCUUAGUAUUUUUAUGUUGGCUUGUGACAGGGAAGCUAGCAUAUUUGAUUAUCUCCAUUUUCAAGGAGUUAUAGUAUGGGACAUCCGUUUGCGUAGGGAUGUUAAUGAGUGGGAGGAAGAGGAUUUGUUGACUUUGAUUUCUAGAGUGUAUGAUUUUAGAAGGAUAGGAGUAGAGGAGGAUGAGGUUCGGUGGAAUUUAUCAAAAGAUGGUUCUUUUCAUGUGAAAUCCUACUAUCAAUUUCUUUGUGGGAGGGGUAAUCCUUCCUUUCCUUGGCAAGCAAUUUGGAAGACGAUGGCGCCAUUAAAGGUAAGCCUUUUUGUGUGGUGUGCGGCUCAAGGUAAAAUUCUCACCAUUGACAACUUAAUCCGAAGGCGAAUUACUAUCGUCAAUUGGUGAUGUAUGUGCAAAAGGGAUGCGGAGACGGUUGAUCAACUCCUUAUUCAUUGCCCGGUGGCAUGGGAGCUUUGGACCACGGUGAUUUCUUGGUUUGGGAUUCGGUGGGCUUUAUCAAGAAAUGUGAUGGAACUCCUAAUUACUUGGAAAGGUGCUAAAGUGGGAAAGAAGAGGAAGCGGGUUUGGAAUUUGAUUCCUCUUUGUUUGAUGUGGAUCAUAUGGCGGAAAAGAAAUUCUAGAUGUUUCGAAGGAGUCGAAAAAUCGUUGCAUAGUAUCAAAAGUUUUGUGGUGAAUAGCUUGUAUAGUUGGUACAAGAGAGAUUGCUAUCCGUCUCUUGACCAAUUUUUAGAUUGGUUUGAGCUUAUCCUUUCGCAUGGAAGUGUAUAGGGCCUUUUUGUCGUGUGGCCUCUUUUUGUAUAUGGGUGGCAUUCCCUUAAUGCCUUCUUUCUAAUAUAUUUAUUUACUUAUCAAAAAAAAAUUAGUUGAAGAGACGUGGAAGAGAUAAGAAGGCAGUGCACAGACACGGACACGGACACGGACACGGGAAUUCUCAAAAAAUGGGGACAUAGACACGGCGUGGGACACGCAACGUGUAUAUUUAUUUAUAUUUUUUUCCAAUUGUUUUCCAAGUGUGAAUGGCAAACUAUGGACAAAACGAAAAAUCCAUAGUUCCAAUACCAUUUAAACAAAACAAGACAUCUAUAAGUUCAAAACAACCCUAUUGAAAAAUUACCCUGAAAAAUUAAAAAAAUUACAAUUUUGCCCCCAAAAAUUUUAAAAAAAUUACAGUUUGACCCCCAAAUUUUUUAAAAAAUUACACUUUGACCCCAACCGUGUCCCCGGCUGUGUCCCCAGCCGUGUCCCCCUCAAAAAUUUAAAUUAAAUUAUGGGACAUGUGUCCCAUACAUGCAUGUCCACGCUGUGUCCCCAUGUCUGACACUGCGAUAUAUGCCAGUGCUUCAUAGGAAGACACAGACCAACAC